AGGCCCGAAUUCACAAAGGAGGUUUAGAUUUAACCCAGGCUAAAUCGCGUCAUAAUACGUCAUAACCCCAAGCUUUAGACCAUGGGUCAUUAUUUUGGUAUUCACAAAGGAAGUUUAGAUUUAACCCAGGCUAAAUCGCGUCAUAUUACGUCAUAUUUUUAGCCUGCUCAGAAGGGUGGUUUAAACAGCGGGCUAAAUCUAACCCACGGUUUAACCCACGGUUUAACGCGUCAUAUGACGUCAUACCAGCGAGCUUUGGCUUUUUAGCGCAGACGACCGUACAAAUUUUGUUGACAAAUUUGUGGUGAAACAAAGUGAAGAGACCUUUACAAAGUUGCUGUUUUUUCAACUUUGAUAGCCUACAUUAGACAGCAUGGCUGAAUAUAUUCACCAUCUCCGCCAGCUUGAUCGGAACAGAGAGUUGAUAGGCAGACCUCAGAGAGGCCAUCGUGACCCAUAAACCCUUUUGAAGUGUAUGAUGAUGAGUCAUUUCGGACCAGGUACAGGUUUUCCAAAGAGACAGCGCUCUACCUCAUCAACUUGGUGGAUGAAGAGCUGAGGAGGACGGCAGACAGAAACGACCCAAUACCUAUACAGGUAGUGACAGCACUUCGAUUCUAUGCUGUUGGGUCAUUCCAAAAGAUGCAUGGUGAUGAGGCACAACUUUCACAGUCUUCUGUAUGCAGAGUCAUCAAAGACGUGUCAGAAGCGUUUGCAA
rnacentral:lncRNA from 15 species